UUAUCAGACUUGUCACAAGGUUGUUCUAACAAGUCUGAUACAGUCAUGAUAUAACAAGAAUGUUACAAGGUUGACGACACAAGGUUGUAACAAUACUGCUAUAUCAUGACUGUAUCGGACUUGUUGGAACAACCUUGCAACAAGUCUGAUAA